GUACUAUACCGAUCCAUCUGGCACAUUCUGGCAAUGCAAUGCAAAAGCAAUAGGAUCUGGAUCCGAAGGAGCUGAUAGUUCUCUUCAAGAGCAAUACAACAAGGACCUGUCCCUUCUGGAAGCUGAAACUAUAGCUCUUUCCAUCCUGAAACAAGUCAUGGA